rnacentral:rRNA from 1 species
CCCUUAGAUGUUCUGGGCCGCACGCGCGCUACACUGAAUGGAUCAGCGUGUUUUCCCUUCCCGAGAGGGACGGGUAACCCGCUGAACCCCAUUCGUGGUAGGGAUCGGAGCUUGCAAUUGUUCUCCGUGAACCAGGAAUUCCCAGUAAGCGCAAGUCAUAAGCUUGCGUUGAUUACGUCCCUGCCCUUUGUACACACCGCCCGUCGCUACUACCGAUUGAAUGAUUUAGUGAGGACUUCGGACUGGGACCGAUGCGGCUUUCGGGCUGCGUCGGUAUUCUGGAAAGAUGUCCAAACUGUAUCAUUUAGAGGAAGUAAAAGUCGUANCA